rnacentral:rRNA from 1 species
AUUGAACGCUGGCGGCAGGCCUAACACAUGCAAGUCGAACGGUAACAGGAAACAGCUUGCUGUUUCGCUGUCGAGUGGCGGACGGGUGAGUAAUGUCUGGGAAACUGCCUGAUGGAGGGGGAUAACUACUGGAAACGGUAGCUAAUACCGCAUAACGUCGCAAGACCAUAGAGGGGGACCUUCGGGCCUCUUGCCAUCGGAUGUUCCCAGAUGGGAUUAGCUAGUAGGUGGGGUAACGGCUCACCUAGGCGACGAUCCCUAGCUGGUCUGAGAGGAUGACCAGCCACACUGGAACUGAGACACGGUCCAGACUCCUACGGGAGGCAGCAGUGGGGAAUAUUGCACAAUGGGCGAAAGCUUGAUGCAGCCAUGCCGCGUGUAUGAAGAAGGCCUUCGGGUUGUAAAGUACUUUCAGCGGGGAUGAAGGGAGUAAAGUUAAUCCCUUCGCUCAUUGACGUUACCCGCAGAAGAAGCACCGGCUAACUACGUG